CCUACGGGAGGCAGCAGUGAGGAAUAUUGGUCAAUGGUCGAGAGACUGAACCAGCCAAGUAGCGUGAAGGAUGACUGUCCAAUGGGUUGUAAACUUCUUUUGUCAAGGAAUAAAACGAGGCACGUGUGCCUUGUUGCAUGUACCUUAUGAAUAAGGAUCGGCUAACUCCGUGCCAGCAGCCGCGGUAAUACGGAGGAUCCGAGCGUUAUCCGGAUUUAUUGGGUUUAAAGGGUGCGUAGGCGGGCUUUUUAGUCAGCGGGUAAAGUCUGGGGCUCAAACGCAGACUGGCCGUUGAAACUGGCAGGCGCGAGUUGGUGAGAGGCAGGCGGAAUGCGUGGUGUAGCGGUGAAAUGCUUAGAUAUCGCGCAGAACUCCGACUGCGAAGGCAGCAUGCC
rnacentral:rRNA from 1 species